rnacentral:lncRNA from 1 species
CUCUUGGCCAUUUGUCUUCCUUCCCAAGUGCCGCGUGCUCAGUGAGUGAAGAGGGUAAUCAAUAGGGCAACAAGGAAGGAGGGCAAGUAGCCUGCAGUUCCGCGCUCCAUGGAAAGCCCUGUUUCUUGCUGAGGUCUUGCAGUUUCCUGGAUCAUGCAACUCACCAGCAGUAGAUCAAGGAAAAGAGAUGGAUGGGGUUUUCCUCAGGAAGGAGAGCCACAAGCGUGGUGAAGGUUUAAAGACUUUUGAGCAUCGCUGGGAGCAUCACAUGAACUUCAGCGCUGACACUCACCCUCAGGGGGCAAAGCUCGGCGGCGAGCGCCCAUCGGACGCCGGCGGCGGCGGCGGCGCGGCGGAC